rnacentral:rRNA from 1 species
GUAGUUAGCCGGGGCUUCCUCCUUGGCUACCGUCACUUUCUUCGUCACCAAGGACAGAGGUUUACAACCCGAAAGCCUUCUUCCCUCACGCGGCGUUGCUGGGUCAGGCUUGCGCCCAUUGCCCAAUAUUCCCCACUGCUGCCUCCCGUAGGAGUCUGGACCGUGUCUCAGUUCCAGUGUGGCCGUUCAGCCUCUCAGCUCGGCUACCCAUCGUCGACUUGGUGGGCCGUUACCCCGCCAACUAUCUAAUCAGUCGCGAGCCCAUCUAUCGGCGGAUUUCUCCUUUUACCACUGAGAGAUGCCUCUCUGUGGCUUUAUGCGGUAUUACCGUCCGUUUCCAGACGCUAUCCCCCUCCUAUAGGUAGGUUGCUCACGUGUUACUCACCAGUCCGCCACUAUCUACAUCAGAGCAAGCUCCAAUAUAAACCGUUCGACUUGCAUGUGUUAGGCGCGCCGCCAGCGUUCGUCCUGAGCCAUGAUCAAACUCUGA